CAGCCUAAUACAUGCAAGUCGAGCGAACAGAGGAGGAGCUUGCUCCUUUGACGUUAGCGGCGGACGGGUGAGUAACACGUGGGCAACCUACCUUAUAGUUUGGGAUAACUCCGGGGAACCGGGGCUAAUACCGAAUAAUCUAUUUUACUUCAUGGUGAAAUACUGAAAGACGGUUUCGGCUGUCGCUAUAAGAAUGGGCCCGCGGGCGCAUUAGCUAGAUUGGUGAGGUAAGGGCUCACCAAGGGCGACGAUGCGUAGCCGACCUGAGAGGGUGAUCGGCCACACUGGGACUGAGACACGGCCCAGACUCCUACGGGAGGCAGCAGUAGGGAAUCUUCCACAAUGGGCGAAAGCCUGAUGGAGCAACGCC
rnacentral:rRNA from 1 species